rnacentral:lncRNA from 1 species
GCUUAUUUCAGCAGAGCAAAUCGAAAGGGAGGAGAAAACCCUAAGGGUUUGCUCACAUUCGGCCGCCGCUUUCAACAUCAAAAUUGGUGAAUGGUGCCAUUUGAUUCCCCUCGUCACCAACGCCGAUCUUCCCUCAAAAACGACAACCAAUAGAUGUGACCUUUUAAUGAUGAUUUUCAGCCUCAAGACCUCCUAUUCCACUUCAAAUUUGACGAAGCAAAGAGAGAUCAAUGACCGAUCCAUAAGGUGAGAUUUCUUCUCCCUUUCUUCCUAUUAUUUUCUAACUCAAUAAUGAAAAAAAUAAGAAUGAAGUCAUUCAGUUGAAAUUUAAAAGCAAAUAUUAAGCAGAAAAUCACCUUUUCUAAAAAAAACUUGUGAAACGCUCUAUUUUUUAUAUCUAGUGUGCGUAGUAUCUUCCUAAUCCCCUUUGCAGGUACAUUCGAUGGCAUUCUAUAGCCAGAUUUACAGAGUAAAUAAAAAAUAAAAUUACAUUUUCUUGCUGUCAAUCACUGUAAAUUCUGUUAGCUUCUUUCUCGUGCAUUCCUUUGCUGUUUAUUUUCCUUCUCGCAUGUUCCAUUGACGUGGAGGAACGGAGGUGCACUUGCGAUGUAGCGAGGCCACUCGUGAAGGCUGCGGCAUGAGGCUACUGACUUAGGGUUUCAUUUUCUGAAACUGAAGCUUGUAUUAUUUGGGCCAUUGGCUGUGUACUUUGUUGGGUUUAGGUUUUUUAAUUUGGGCCCGUUAUUUUUGGUUGUUGGGCUAUGUAAGAAAUCGACAUUGGACUUUAUUAUUAUUAUUAUUUUAUAUUUUGAUUUGUUUUUUAGUUUGUGUAAGCCCGGGCACAAAUUGGGUCUUACAGCUAGUAUUUAACACCUUUAGUUAUCAAAAUAGGACUUUUACACUGUAUGUGAUUUAGUCCUUUCUCACAAUUGGGCUCACAAUAGCUAAAAUUAAUUCACCAAAAUUUUCAUGCUCCCAUAUAAGCAUGCCACAACACAUAAAAUAAUAUUAAAAAUAAUUUCUCUAUCCUCAGAUUAGUGGUCCUGAAAAUACUGUUCCGACUGGGCCCAAAAUCGGGCUGUUACAAUUCUCUCCCUUAGGGGUUUUCGUCCCCGAAAAUCUUACCGGUGAAUAGAUUUGGGUAUUGGCCUCCAAUGGUCUCCUCGGGUUCCCAUGUGGCUUCUCUGACUCUAUGUCUAUGCCAUAAUAUUUUAAGAAGUGCAAU